UACGUAGGGGGCAAGCGUUGGUCCGGAUUUAUUGGGCGUAAAGAGCGUGUAGGCGGCUGGGGUAGGUCCGUUGUGAAAACUCGAGCUCAACCUCGAGACGCCGAUGGAAACCCUCCAGCUAGAGUCCGGAAGAGGAGAGUGGAAUUCCUGGUGUAGCGGUGAAAUGCGGCAGAUAAUCAGGAAGAACACCCGUGGCUAAGGCGGCUCUCUGGGACGGUACUGACGCUGAGACGCGAAAGUG
rnacentral:rRNA from 1 species